AAUCCAUUACAAAUAUAACAUUUCAGAAAGAAGUCCAUUUAACAACAUAACAUAUAAUACAAAUAUUUAGACAAUAAAAUAAAUUAUUUUAAAAUACUUUUAUAAAAUGCAACGUCUACAGCAGACAUAUACUUGAACAUACUUUUAAGGUCCUUGGCUUUAUCACUAGAAAUUUGAGCACACUGAUUCAAGGCAGAAGCCAUUGGUACAACUGCCAGAGGUCUUGUUAUCACAGAUGAUAAAGAGCGCGGAUUGUUAGGAAGACGCCUAAUUCGUGCUUCUGAACAAACAUCUGAAAACGACUUUCUGUAAUAUACAUGAUCUGAAAACUCUGCUCUGUAAACCUGAUGCUUUAUCUGGCUAUCCUUGCGGCGAACCUGACGUCACUUUAACUAACUAAACGGCUACCAUUAUGGUAUCGGGGCAAACAAAGCGCUUGAAAAUGGAGAAAGGAUUCUGUGUUUUUGAUUGUUCAAUUAAUGUUAAUAGUCAUCCGAACUUGAGUUUUUAUAUUUUACCUGCUGAUCCAAAGAGAAGAAAAUUGUGGCUUUAUGAAUUGAAGUAAAUAGAAUUGAUUCAUCAAGCAAAAACAAACUUUGGUCGCAAAACAUGUCUAAAUAUGCUCAAAACAUUUUGUAUUUGAAUAUUGUGUACAAAAAAGUCAUUGCAAUAAUUCUCAAGUUGUUGAAGUCAGUGAACAAAAAUAACAAGAAGAUGUUAGUGUCUUGAACCAACACAAAACAACGAGUGAACUUAGCUGAGAAUGAUGGUAGUUUAAAAAUAAUGCAGUGUUGGCUAGCGGGAUUGUUCUUAGAUCACAAAAACAAUCUUACAAAAGUUUCUGCUGUUGUCACUGGCUUUAGAGAGUACCUUCGUGAAUGAAGAUAAAAAGUCAUUUAUGUCAUUUGCUAAAAGCCAAGACAUAAUAUUGUUAAUCCUCAUACCAAUUACUAAAAAAUUUUAUAAUUAUUGUUACAAUGUUUAUUUUUAAUAAUAAUUCAAAUUGUUGUUAUUAGUAAUUUUGAUCAUUUCAUUA